UACAGAGGGUGCAAGCGUUAAUCGGAAUUACUGGGCGUAAAGCGCGCGUAGGCGGCUUGGCAAGUCGGGUGUGAAAUCCCCGGGCUUAACCUGGGACCUGCAUUCGAAACUGUCUUGCUAGAGUAUGGGAGAGGGAAGUGGAAUUUCAGGUGUAGCGGUGAAAUGCGUAGAUAUCUGAAGGAACAGCAGUGGCGAAAGCGACUUCCUGGACCAAUACUGACGCUCAGGUGCGAAAGCGUGGGGAGCAAACAGG
rnacentral:rRNA from 1 species